UUCAGUCACUUUACAGGGAAGGAGGCUCUAAGCCAGGGAAAAGAUGCAACUUGUCCAAGUUGCAUAACUAGUUGGAAUCAGAAACCAGCUUUUCCUUUAUGUCUGAAGUGACAGUCAUAAUUUUUUAAAUGGUUUUGCGUCCAUUCCCAGAGUAAAAGCAUACGUUGACAGUCUCAGCUGGGAAACAAAAUUUCCAUUAUUUGCAUUCUUACCUUUUUCAGGUGUGGCCGAAGAUGGUGGUGGUGCUCCAGAAUUAGAAGUGAGAACAAUGUCUGUCAUGGAGCUGAGAAGCUGGAAUAGCUGGGGUAUUUUAUAACAACAUACAGCUCAUGUGUGGCCCACAUAUAGAUACAAGACAGCAUUCACCUCUUCUACCGCGUCAGGAUGCAGCAAUAAGGCACCAUCCCUGAAGCAGACAGAACAACUCUCACCAGACACGAAAUCUGCUGGUGCCUUGGACUUCCCAGCCUUCAAAACUAUGAAACAUAAAUGUCUGUUGUUUAAGCCA